rnacentral:tRNA from 1 species
GCGUCCUUAGCUCAGCUGGAUAGAGCAUUUGGCUUCGAACCAAAGGGUCGGGGGUUCGAAUCCCUCAGGGCGCG